rnacentral:lncRNA from 1 species
UAUAUUCUAGUCCUGUCAUAUACUUCUUACUUUAAAGUUCAAAUGAAUGUUUCUAGAACCUUCAACAAAAGGAAGAAAAAGAAUGUUUCUAGAAUCAGAUUUGAUCAUCUGACCAGAACUUAUGAUGAAUAAAGAAUUGGUGACCGUUUAGUAUACAGAAGAGUUGGGUUAAUUACAGAAAGACCUUCUAAAGAUUUCCUUAAAAUAUACUUUGGUCUCUUUUGUUCAAAAAUUCACUUCUAGUCUCUAUACCAGCAUUAGUGAAAAAUACAAGAUUUUGAGGGAUUGAAGUGUUCUGCAAUAUAAUAAUUCUUGAACUAAAUUGCAACUAAUUUUAAACUUGGGUAAACUAUAAUUUAGUCCCUUUGGUUUAGUGAAAUAUAACCUUUCGUCCCUCUGUUUUAAAAAACCUUCAAUUUAGUCACUGUGAUUUUUAAAAACUAUGCCAUUAGUCCCUCCCGUUAGAUUUUCAGUUAAAUCACCGUUAAUUUUAGUUAAAAAGACUAAAAUACCCAUUCUCUCUCCUUCUCCUUCCCCUUCCUCUUUUUCUUCUUCUUCUUCUCCUUCCCGAUCUCCUUCUGCUUAUUUUUCUUCCUCUUUUCCGAUCUUCUUCUUCUUCUUCACUUGUUCCUUUGCCUUUCUUUCCUCUCUUCUUCAACAUGUUAAUGGUCUCAUGCUCAACACAAGCACCGUACUUCUUCUCCAGAAACAAUGCAGCCUAGGUAACAAGACAAUUAGAAAAUGGAGAUUUGUCAUUGUUCAUGACUAUUGGCAAAGCUGCUUGGCGUUCUUCUUGAACCGUGUUUCUAGUUUGUUGAGUCUCAUGGAAUCGUAGCUUUAACCAUUGGAUAAUAGACUCUUUCAGUUCUCUUUCCAUUUGGUCAUUAUCUCCCAACCAACCAAUAAGCUCUUCAAACUCUUAAUCAGUUUCAUAUGAAACCCAUGGUGAGCAUGUAGGAAUACUAUCAUUUGGAUUAAACAUGAAUGGAAAACAAGCUCUUGACCCUUCCGAAUCCAAAAAAGUGUUCAUGCCAAGUGAAGCAGAAUGCUUGAAAAUUGAAACAUUGUCUGAUAGGCCCUUAUGAUCUGAUAUUUUCCUGAGCCGCAAAGUCAAACUCCCAUCAGCAACAACCCGAGCAUGCCCAGCAGGUGUAGCAGAAGCCCAAUACAAACGACCUAUAGAAUCACUGCCCAGAAACUCCCUCCGCGUAGCUUGCUUUAGAAGUUGUGAUUCUAUGCUGGUAAUCAGAUUCUGCAGAUGAAGAAUGUCAUCCUUAAUGGUGCUCAACUCAGGACAAUAUGCUUGUGACUCUUUCAAAGCAACAGAAGGCACAUUCUCCACAUCCUGAAUAUUCAUGUCUGAUGAGAGAGAAGGUCCUGGAUGAUCUAAAGGAGUUGAAGAGUUUUUCCCAACAUGUUCUUGCAUGUUAUUAUGGUGGCAAAUUUCACCCGCUUGCUGCGGCCAGAAAUUCUUCCCUACACUUAAGAUUUUUCAAUUCCAUUGAUAAUGACCGCAAUUUCUGCUGCAAUUCAGUUGUAGUUUCCACGCACUGCUCAAGGUGCUGACGAACAAGAGCAGAGUUGAGUAAUUCAUCACAAAGGAACUUAAGAAGAAAGGAGAUCGGAAAAGAGAAAAAGAAGGAGAUUGGAAAAGAGAAGAAGAAGCAAAAGAAGGAGAAGCAAAAGAAGGAGAUCGGGAAGGAGAAGAAGAAGAAGAAGAAGAGGAAGAAGAAGAAGGAGAUCGGAAAAGAGAAGAAGAAGAAGAAGGAGAAGAAGAAGAAGAAGCAGAAGAAGGAGAUCGGGAAGGAGAAGAAGAAGAAGAGGAGGAGGAAGAGGAAGAAGAAGGAGAGAGAAUGGGUAUUUUAGUCUUUUUAACUAAAAUUAACGGUGAUUUAACUGAAAAUCUAACGGGAGGGACUAAUGGCAUAGUUUUUAAAAAUCAUAAUGACUAAAUUGAAGGUUUUUUAAAACAGAGGGACGAAAGGUUACAUUUCACUAAACUAGAGGGACUAAAUUAUAUUUUACCCUUUAAACUUUAGUAGCUAAAAUGUAAUCUGAUAUAUAUUAAAAAAAUAUUGAGGACUAAAUGUCAUGAAAAAAAAGCUUCAUAACUUUGUAGACAAUAAUUAAAAUACUGGUCAGAAACAAACUUUCUAGGAACUAAAAGUGCUAGUUUUGAAACAAUAAUUCAUCUAUGAGAAUUCAGAAUCAUCAAAAGUUUCUCAUUUUCAGAUUUUGCUGAAACUAGUUAAAUCACAGGUUGAAUGCUGGUUUUCCACAUUCCAUUUGGUUUAUUGGUUCAACCAUUGGUGAAGUUGGUCCAACCUUGGGUUUGAUUAUAGUGCAGUAAUAAACCAAUCAAACCAAGAUGGUAGCUGGAAUAAACAAAAUAAUGAUUAAAAUGAAAUUUACUAUUUAGUUUAUGUGUUAGGGAGAAACUCAUUAUUUGGUCAUUGAAUUUUGAAAAAUACAAAUACAUUAAAACGUC